GUCAGUGUGGCAUAGUGGUUUGAGUCUUGGACUGCAACUCUGGAGGCCUGAGUUCAAAUUCUAGCUCAGCCAUGAAA